UGAAAAUUCAACAAAAAAUAAGGUCAAUCCUUUCAAACACUGCAGUUGAUUUACUUGCCAAACCAUUCUCCACAAACAAUCAUAUGCUAUGCAUCACAAAUCUAAAUAGGAACAAGCAUUAACUUUAUGUACAGAAAAGAUAUUCAAACCACAAGACAAGUUUGGGUGAAUCACAAUGAAUUCAUAUCUGCUUCAGUCACACAUAUUCAACAAGAGGACUACUGCAAGUACUCAAAAUACCAAAUUCAAGCUAAACAUCAAAUUAGUUCCUCAUGAUAUAAACUCUCCUCCGCUCUGACUCAAAAUGGUACCAUAAUUACUACUCAAAAACUAGAGAACGCUGCAAUUACAAAGCCAAUGGCUAGAGAUCCAACAGAGAUCGAUAUCCCAUGAGAACUUGAGGCCCCCGGAGACGGUGCUGGUGCUUGCACGUUCAAUCCAGAGUUCGUGCCAGGUGCAGUAGCAAUAGAGGGUGGGGUUACACCUAAGACAGCAAUUAGCCAGUUUGAUCAAAGUUAUCAACUUGACAAGUGAAUUGGCCACACAAAAUGCAAAACUGCACACAUGUCUCCUCACCCCACAAAAAUUAAGAAAUCCAAAAACAAGUAUACCUUUUCACUUUCCUUUCCAUACUCUAGUUUUAUGAACUGAAUCCACUGAACAAAGCCAGCAUUUUUUUGCACACAAGCACAUGAAGAUACAUUUAGUGAAUGUUAGAAAUAAGUCUCCCCAUCAAGCAAUGGUGGGGUUGGUGGGGGGACCUUACAUUUCCUCCCAUUUUGCCAAUGAAAAGCUAGAUACCACAUUUAAUGUAUAAACACAAAAGACUAAAGAAAACUAUUCUUACCUGCCAUCUAGCCCACAGAUUUUAUUGUAAUUAGACACCUUACCCAUGUAAUCUACUUCACUAUAGAUCAGUGUAAAAGUAAAUCACCAAAUUUGGCACUUCGAUUAUUUGGAAUAUAGAUCUUAAACAAAAGCAAAAUCAGCAUUUUAUUCAUGAGAAAACUCUGUUUUUGAAAGGUUAAGUAAAAGCAAAUUUACACUUCCAUGAGAAUAGAAAAUUCAACUACAAAUUUGUUUCAAUUCCCUCUUGAUUACCAAAUUGAAUUGCUUCAGAUCUUCAAUAGGCCAAAAUAUACCAUAACUCUCUCUCUCUCUCUCUC
rnacentral:misc_RNA from 1 species